GAUGAACGCUGACAGAAUGCUUAACACAUGCAAGUCGAUGGGGAAGUGGUGCUUGCACUAUGGCAACCAUGGCGGACGGGUGAGUAACUCGUAAGGGACUUACCUUCAGGACUGGGAUAACAGGGGGAAACUCCUGACAAGACCGGAUAAUGUCAUGGAGCUGCAUGGCUUUAUGAUGAAAUGAGACGCCUGCGGAGAGCCUUGCGUCCUAUUAGCUAGUUGGUGAGGUAAUGGCUCACCAAGGCGAAGAUAGGUAGCCGGCCUGAGAGGGUGGACGGCCACAAGGGGACUGAGAUACGGCCCUUACUCCUACGGGAGGCAGCAGUGGGGAAUAUUGGACAAUGGGGGCAACCCUGAUCCAGCAAUUCUGUGUGCACGAAGAAGGUUUUCGGAUUGUAAAGUGCUUUCAGCAGGGAAGAAGUCAGUGACGGUACCUGCAGAAGAAGCGACGGCUAAAUACGUG
rnacentral:rRNA from 1 species